GAAGAUCCGGCGCAGCUAAAGUCAGUGGAAGGUAGAAAGACGCCACAGCCGCCUUUCGACAACUUUUUGUUACAAAAGUGGAGAUCUACACGGAGGCGACGGCCUAGGUCGCUCUGACAGGACCCAACGACCCUCCUGACGCGUCCACCCGUCCUCGCUAGCAGGGUCCCCCAGCGGGCUCUCGACCUGCGCCACCAGAGUUCCACUCUUUUUGUCGACAAUAAUAUGGCGCCCAAACACGUGGGGCCUCAGAGAAGACUCUGGAUCCGGAAGGAGUAUCCCAAAACCAGAGCUAAGGUACCAGCUGGAGCCCACUGAAGCCUCACCGAGUUUGGGCUUCUCCUCCUGUGGAACUGGAAACCAAAAUCAUGGUAUUUUGAAAACCAGAGGUAUGAAUCUCCCUCGUUUGGCAUCCCACUGGGCCUGGACCUGUUUCACUGCUAAUGUUCUGCUGCCAAAACUAUACAAGCUGCCUGGACUAUUGCAGAAGAGAGACAGAGUCUUGCUCUGUUGCCCAGAAUGGAAUGCAGUAGCACAAUCCUAACUAAUCGUAACCUUGAACUCCUGGGUUCAAGCGAUCCUCCUGCCUCAGCCUCCUCAGUAUAGGACUACAGGCGUGCCCAGUUCAAAGUACCAACCUGGAGAAAAUGCCCUGGAUUUGGAAGCAAAGUAUUGAAUGUUGGAAGUCUGAAUAAAGGAAUCAUACACUGUAUGUGCACCUGAAUGUACUUUACAAGCAUCAGUAGAACACUUCUGAUUGAAGCUUGGUCUUAUGAAGAUAAAAAUUUUAUGUGGACCACAGAUUCUCUAAAAAUCAAUGCUUCCUGUCCUCAAACAUCGGACUCCAAAUUCUUCAGCUUUGGGACGGACUGGCUUCCUUGCUCCUCAGCUUGCAGACAGCCGACUGUGGGACCUUGUGAUCAUAAUACCACAGUCUGGAGGCUAUGAAGUCCAUGAUUAAGAAGCCAGCACGUUUGCUUUCUGGUUCCAAGAUGGCAUACCUUUUUGCUGCUUCCUCCAGAGAGGAGGAACACUGUGUUCUCACAUAGUAGAAGAUGGAAGGAGCAGAUGCAGAUGAGCAUGGCAAUGUGAGAAUAUGUCAGAGGCCCCAGGAUGAAAUGAGCUCAAGUCCCUGAAAUCCCUGUUAGAAGAGUCUUUCCACUGGUUGGGAAUGCUAAUUGUAUUUUGACAACUCAAUGUUUCAGCAACUCAAAAUGUUACAGCUUCUGCAUUGGAAUAAAAAAAG
rnacentral:lncRNA from 1 species